CACGGGGGCUUCGGCCCUAGUGGCGGACGGGUGAGUAACACGUAGGGACCUGCCCGGAAGUGGGGGACAACUUCCCGAAAGGGAAGCUAAUACCGCAUACGGUCUACGGACCAAAGCGGCAAUGCGCUUCUGGAGGGUCCUGCGGUGGAUUAGCUAGUUGGUGGGGUAACGGCCUACCAAGGCGACGAUCCAUAGCUGGUCUGAGAGGAUGAUCAGCCACACUGGGACUGAGACACGGCCCAGACUCCUACGGGAGGCAGCAGCGAGGAAUUUUGCACAAUCGACGCAAGUCGGAUGCAGCAACGCCGCGUGGGGGAAGAAGGCUUUCGAGUUGUAAACCCCUUUUGUGAGGGAAGAAGAUCUGACGGUACCUCACGAAUAAGUCACGGCUAACUACGUGCCAGCAGCCGCGGUAAUACGUAGGUGGCGAACGUUGUCCGGAUUUACUGGGCGUAAAGCGCGCGCAGGCGGAUUGGUAAGUCAGAGGUGAAAUCUCCCGGCUCAACUGGGAGGGGCCCUUUGAUACUGUCAGUCUUGAGAUGCCUAGAGGAGAGUGGAAUUCCCGGUGUAGUGGUGGAAUGCGUAGAUAUCGGGAGGAACACCAGUGGCGAAAGCGACUCUCUGGGGGCGAUCUGACGCUGAGGCGCGAAAGCGUGGGGAGCAAACCGGAUUAGAUACCCGGGUAGUCCACGCCGUANACGAUGAGUACUAGCUGUAUGGGGUANCGACUCCCUGUGUAGCGAAGCUAACGCGAUAAGUACUC
rnacentral:rRNA from 1 species